rnacentral:rRNA from 1 species
GACGAACGCUGGCGGCGUGCUUAACACAUGCAAGUCGAACGGAAAGGCCCUGCUUUUGUGGGGUGCUCGAGUGGCGCACGGGUGAGUAACACGUGAGUAACCUGCCCUUGACUUUGGGAUAACUUCAGGAAACUGGGGCUAAUACCGGAUAGGAGCUCCUGCUGCAUGGUGGGGGUCGGAAAGUUUCGGCGGUUGGGGAUGGACUCGCGGCUUAUCAGCUUGUUGGUGGGGUAGUGGCUUACCAAGGCUUUGACGGGUAGCCGGCCUGGGAGGGUGACCGGCCACAUUGGGACUGAGAUACGGCCCAGACUCCUACGGGAGGCAGCAGUGGGGAAUAUUGCACAAUGGGCGGAAGCCUGAUGCAGCAACGCCGCGUGCGGGAUGACGGCCUUCGGGUUGUAAACCGCUUUCGCCUGUGACGAAGCGUGAGUGACGGUAAUGGGUAAAGAAGCACCGGCUAACUACGUG